rnacentral:rRNA from 1 species
GACAGAGGGGGCGAGCGUUGUCCGGAAUCACUGGGCGUAAAGCGCGUGUAGGCGGUCGUGUGCGUCGGUGCUGAAAGCGCCCGGCUUAACCGGGCGAGGCGUGCCGAUACGAUGCGACUGGAGGCAGGCGGAGGGCGGCGGAAUUCCGGGUGUAGCGGUGAAAUGCGUAGAGCUCCGGAGGAACGCCGGUGGGGUAGCCGGCCGCCUGGGCCUGACCUGACGCUGAGACGCGACAGCGUGGGGAGCAAACCGG